AUUCUUGUCAUCCUACAGUCUGUGCCAGGUCAUGGCCAGGUCAUGUCACUCUGCUGCCCAGAAGGACGACCUGGCUCCCACCUCGCUCAGGGCUCACAAGAUGCUCCCUUCUGCCUCUUUUCCUCUGGCAUUCCAGGCAAAUUCCACCUCAGGCCCUUUGCUUGUGCUGUUGGCAACACCUGCAAUGUGCCAUGCCCCCCACCACCUGCAGGUUUGGCUCACAGGUCUUCCUCUUUCACCUUACAGCUCCCCCUCGCCCACCACGCGCUCCCGAGCGCUCUCUGCUUCAUUUCUCUCCGCGGGGAUCACUGUGGUCUGGGCAGGUGGGGUUGUGACCCACUUGCUCUCGCUGUGUCUGCGGUGCUCACAGGGUGCUGAGUGGCGGUAACGCUUUCUCCCCCCAGCUGGGGUGAGCGGCUCUGAGAGGGACGAGUUGAAUAGGCUCUCAGGAGGUGGGGUGGGGUGCUUGGCCCUCAAAGUAGCAGGGAGUGGGGGGUAGUCUGUGACCCGGUCACAUCCCCUCACCUGCGGGCACCGUGUUUACAGGGCCUGUCCCCAGUCUGCCCAGUGACUGUGGUCUGUUGUGUUAACAGGCUCUUCUUGGACUCCAGCAUCUUUCCAUAUCCAUCAGCUUUGGAUUUCUCUGUAGAUCCCCUCUUCGUGUCAUUAAAUUAUCUGCUCAGUGAUGGGAUGGCCUUGGCCCAUCUUAUUUUUAGUGUCGCUGUUACAUUGUUCCAUCUCUCUGACUCCCGCACCCCCUGUUCUCAGAAGGCCCCGGAGAUGCUCAGGUGUGACUGAGCAUCCAUGAUGUCCAUGGAUGUCACCUUCCCCCCAAGUCCCCUGGGCUCAGUGGCGUUGGGGCACCAGAACCCCAUGUGAAGAGACAGAGCCCCCUACCCCGUGACUCAUUAGCUCGUGGAGACGCCCCCGGCAAACAGACCAAGACUGUUAGGUCCUGGGGGUCCUUGUGUAGCUCUCUGCCCAGGCCUGGGCCCUCCGCUCUUGGAAUCCUCCCCGGGCCCUGGCCUUCACUCCUGUUUCUUCAGUUCUGUUUUUUGUGUGUGGUGCCACAUGUCCUGGUGUCUCCUUUACCAGGGACCCGCGGGGGCUGAACGAGAAUGUGGUGGCCUGGAGCCGGCGGCCUGAGUGUUGGCCGCACGCUGGCAUCAGACUCCCCCUGCACGCGAGCAUUUCUCUUCUCUGGGCUACACCGAGUCACGCGCAGACUGGAUGAGGGGAGGAAGUGUGUCUGUCUUACUACCCACAGCGUCCCCAGCCCCGAGCCCGGCAGGUCGUGGACUCCCUUCUGUGUGUCAGGCGAAGGUCCGGGUGCCGGGGCCGCACGAGAAGCCGCCUCUGGAGCCAGGGGACAACCAGGGGGACGCAGAGUGUGUUGGCCGUGGCGGAUACCGUCAAGGGAAAGGGGCUGGAGGCAGAGAGCGAGGGCCUCGGCGGUUUCCAGCGGAGUGCUGAGGGCAUGCUCAUGGACGGGGAGGGGAGGGGGAGCCCCUGAGCAAGAACUUGAAGGAAGGAGGGGCGAGCCCUGUGAGGGCGGGGCCGGCGGCUUCCUGGGCCCCACAUAGUAUCCCUGGGGAGCUUACAAAUGCUGAGGCCCCGUGCCAUCCCCAGAAAUGCCCAUGUCACGGGCCCGGCGUGCAGACCUGGCCUCCCAUGAAUGUAGUGAGUGGCCAGGGCUGAGGGCCGCCAGGAUGGCUGUGUGUGGACACGCUGAAGGGAGCCCAGCACAGCCGGGGCAACGAGGGGGCGGGGAGGUGGGGGGCCGGCCUCUGUGCGUUGAGGAACAUGGUCAGUGUCCUGGGAGCCCGGGAUUGACGGUUGCAGCCGGGGUGCGUCAUGAUCCAGUGUGUUUUCGGGGAAGGGGCAGGUUGCUCUUCUGUAGAAUGGUUGGGAGUGAGGAGGCCAGUGAGGAGGGGCGCUCCUAGGAGACCCAACCGGGCCCAUGGAGGGAGGGCACUGGCCGCCCCCCUGCUCUGACCCACCGCGUCCUCCCCACCAGGAGCGUCCCGCAAGUGCUGAAUUCUCGGAAGGCGACGUGCCCUCGCAUCCCGGUCCCCGGGCUCUUCCCAGCCCAGCUCUGCCUCGGCAGGCCAGCAGGGCUGGCCUCUAUUUACAGAUGAGGAGGCCAAGGUUCGGAGCCUAGGAGGCAGGGCUUUACCCUGGGCCACACGGCGAGUGAGGAUGAGGAUCGGAACUGACAGCCAUGCCGCCGCCUCCUUGGGAUGCAUCACAGCCCCUGGCAUCCCCUCACUUGGCUGGCCCCUGGCGUCCCCGCCGACUGUCCCCAUGCAGACACGUGCAGGUGGAUACUCGAGUGCCCACAUGUCCUGUGCUGAGAGCUUCCUCUAAAUUUCAUCAGCACAACCACCCAGUGAAAUUACUGCUCCCGUUUUGCAGAUGGUGAAACCAGAGCCCAGAGAGGCUCCUGACUUGCCAGGGUCACACAGCCAGGAACCUAGAAUCAGGUCUUUGUACGUUAACCACUACUGUACUGAGAACUGGAGAGACACUGUUUCUCAGCACCUGGCAUCUCAGCUCCAGGCAGCCCCUGGGCUCUCAGGAAGACUUCUCUGACCACAGGAGGGGUUUUGUGGUCAGGAAGGAGACUGUCCUGCUGGACAUCACUGCCCUACUCCUAACAGGAGACACCUAGGUGGUGAUCUGAUGUCUUCCCAGAAAUUGUGGCCCUGGAGAUGAAAGGCCUGGGCUCUGCUUCCCCAGGAAAGUCUCCAAAUCUGUCUGAGCCUCAGUGUCCUCAUCUGUGAAAAGGGUAUUAAAAAAUGCUUGUUCUCCCCACUUCCUGAGGUGCCGGGACGGUCUGGAGAUAACAGCUGAGAAGGCACUUGAGAAUUACAAGGGCUGUGUGCAUGCCAGCUGGGGUUGCCCCCACUGGGCCAGGCAGGUGGUGAGAGGAGCCUGCCUUUGGGGGCUUUGCCUCUGAUCAUAAGCUCUACCAACCACAGGGAUGCCAAGGGCUGGGGAGAAAGCUCGCCCCCUAGUGGAAAUGGGUGUGGUUGCCGCGGCUGCAGGAGCCUGAGCCUGAGCCUGGAACCUGUCUGUGCUCAAGGGAGCAGAGAAAUGCCGGGCAGCUAGAGAGGCCAGGGCUGUUACCUUUGUUGGACUGAUCUGGUUUUUGAGUGGUUAAUAGGUGUGCGAUGCUGGUAACAGAGAGGGGACGUAGAAAUUAAUGAUGCAAGGCCUGCUUGUCUUCAGAGCUGCAUGCUCAUCUUGCUCUGCUCUGUCAGAGACGUCUCUGCAUACGGGACAGUGUGGGGGACCUGCGGCGUACUCGGACUGCCCUUUCUUCCCCGACAGGGCAAGGGCGUGCAGGUCGUCCCCGGACUGUCCCUCCCACAGUCGGGUCAGCUGGCUGAGGGGCUGAGCUCACGUCCGGGUCCCAGCCAGCCCCCAGGCCACCUCCUGGGCCUCAUGAUUCUGGAGCUUUGGUGGUCCAUCUGGGGCACGGGCUUGCUGCUGAGCACAGGCUCGUCUUUAGUUUCCUGCCUGGGAUCUUGCUCAGCUAGUAGAAGCAGCUGACCACAGACCUUGAUCGCACAGCGUGGGAGGAAUUCGCACAGGGGCAGCCCUGCACCUUCACCCAGAGCCAGGCCCUCGCUUGUCUGUUUAUAUGUUUGUUUAUAUGUUCACUUCCUUCAUUUAGUGUAACAGGUAUUUGUCGAUAGCUGCCUUUGCCAGCUUUGACACUGUUCACGUUUCGGAUCCUUCUCUGUCACGGGGGCUGUCUCGAGCAUUGUGGAAUGUUUGGCAGCAUUCCCUGACCCCAUCCACUAGAUGCCGUAGCAACAUCCCUCCCCUCGGAUGUGACCGCCAAAGAUGUCUCCAGACGCUGCCAAAUGCUUGCCCUUGUUGAGAACCACUAAUUGAAGCCCUGACGUGUCAGCUUCGAGACUGGCCCCAUUCCCAUCUCUUGCUCCCUCAGACAGAGCUGACUCCGAGCCAACACCUGAUACAGCUACAGUCUCCGCCUGGCGUCCCGGUGCCCUCCGCCAGCCGCCCCGUACAUCACCAGGCAGUGUAGGAAUGUCAAGGCCACGGCAGCAGCCCAGUUCCAGGGACCCCUCUUCAAAGAGUAGACACUUCGCCUGCUCCCUGACAGCAUCUGAAGUGACCUGGAAUCAGUGAAGCCAAAGGGACUGGCCUUCUGUCCUGCAGGGAGUACCGACCUAUUCCACUUUGAUGAGCCUGCGAGAGAAAGGAAGGGAGUGUGUGCGUGCGUGUGCGUGCGUGCGUGCAUGUGUGUGUGCGUGUGUGGUCUUCAGACGAGGGUCCCAAACCCCAGGGAGACAGGAAGGCAGCUGAUUCCACACCAUGGAUGACACUUGGGUGCAGCCCCCGGGACCGUGUUCUGCAAUUCAGCCUUCCUGCUGGGGUGGGGCCUCUCCUACUAUGCAAUUUUUCAAGAGCUCCUUGAUCCUGCUUUUUGCUUCUCGAGUUGUCUUUUGCCAUGGCGGGGACUGUGGUCUGGCUCAGGGGUCGGCUCCAGCCCUUUCUGAGGAAGGCCUUCAGGAGGAGGCCGAGUUUCCCUUCUAAUCACCCCACCUUCCCUAGCCUUCCACCAUCUCUGGGAAUCAAUGGCGUGUGGACACGUCGGAGCCUCGCUGAUCGACCCUCCUGGCCUGUGCACUUCGAAAACCUCCCUUCUUUGCCUGAGCUGCUGGCUUGAGUCGUUUUCCAGGUUUAAAAUUCUAGGCAGUCCAUUUCGCGGGACAAAGUCCCCGUCCCCAUUUGCAGAUCCGGCUCCUCCCUUGGGAGAGGCAGGGGAUGGGGUGGCAUGUGGGGAGAAGGGGAGGUCUCCCCAGUGCUUCUUUUGCCUCCCUUGGUGGGACCAUCAACACCUUUAGCGGCUGACCUUCUCAAAUUAGCUGAAAAGGGAAACAAAAAUUGGGAAACGCAAAAUAAGUUGGAGGAUUAAGAAGCACGGGGUGCGGGGGGGGAGAAGAGAUUUCCAGAGGCCACCAGUUGCCUGCCAGGGAGUGAUGGAGCUGGCUUCUGCUUUGCGCAGGAGCAGUCCAUGUCUCGGAGAAACGGGUGAGCUGAGCAGUUCAGUGAGGGUCUUGGGUUUUGUGCCUUUGGGGCCGACCCCAGACACGGAUGUCUGCGACCACUUUGGCGCUGUUUUCUCAGCUCUGUUUUCAGUCGUGAUGUAUCAAACCCACAGUGGAAGGAGAGCACUUGGAAGAACGUGAGUGGUCACACACAAAAAGGGACUUUUUUUUUCAGGGCUACUAUGGUUGAUCUUGCAACUCUGUAAAUAUGUAUGUAGACACUUUUAAAAGCACGUAUUUAUGUCCCUGACUGUAAAUGCCCCCUUUUUAAAGUUUUAUAACUUGUGUUAUUUAAUUAAUCAGUCGACUGGCUGCAGUGUAGGGUCUGAUGAUGGUCCAGGAGGAAGGUCUCACGAGACCCUCACAUGGGCAGAAAAGUGCCGAUUGCUGGCCUCCAUCACAGUUUUCCACUUGCCACCCAGCUCCAUACCAUCGUUUGUUUUCGAUUUCCGUAAGCUGGCAUUCUCUUCCCACUCCUAAAGUUAACCCUCACAAGCAUGAAAAGCUGUGGCUGUUCCUUAUCCUAAGAUACAGUUUUGUCCCAUAAAUGUCGACACUCAUGAACUGUACCCCAGCCUCUCAGUUCUUGAGGGUUCCCCUUUUCAGCAGCAAGGAAGGCUCAAGAAUCCAAAGCUUCGAAAGUCGCCUUCAGCCGGUGGUGAAUUCCAGAAAAUGUGGGGGACUGGGGGACACUCAUUUUUGCAUGUGCAAACGUGCCGGUCAGCCUUCGACCCUCUCAGACUAGCGGAAAGGGCGGCGAGUGUCCCGAUCACGAAGACGGGGGUGGUCUUCUAAAGAGUGGUGUUUCCUGGUCAGUGGUGGUUUUCGGGCGUGGGUGUGGAUCCCGGAAGAGAACGGUUCUGUAUCUGCCAUGUGAAGAAAAUUAACAAUAAAAGUGUGAAGCGCGAUUGUAAAGAACAA